CUCUCUCAGACCAGGAGGAAGUUUUAAAUGUCUGAUGGAUCAGCUGUAUUUUAUCAUAGAACACUGUCCGUAUAUCUGUGUAUUUGGGGCAUUCUGUUAGGAAGUGCAGUUCUGUUUCCAUCUG